rnacentral:rRNA from 1 species
CACGUAGGGCGCGAGCGUUGUCCGGAAUUAUUGGGCGUAAAGAGCUCGUAGGCGGCCUGUCGCGUCGGAUGUGAAAGCCCGGGGCUUAACCCCGGGUCUGCAUUCGAUACGGGCAGGCUAGAGUGUGGUAGGGGAGAUCGGAAUUCCUGGUGUAGCGGUGAAAUGCGCAGAUAUCAGGAGGAACACCGGUGGCGAAGGCGGAUCUCUGGGCAUUACCUGACGCUGAGGAGCGAAAGUGUGGGGAGCGAACAGG